UCGACGAAUACGGGAGAGAUCGGCUUUCGAGGCCGGCGCCGAAGGAGCAACCGCCCCGGAAACUCUCAGGCAAACGGACCGUUUCGUUUCA
rnacentral:ncRNA from 2 species